UCUAUGGCAACAGAAGAUGAUGCCAUAAACACAGGACUCUGCAAUCUGUGCUGGCUCCGAUGGAAGGAGAGGCAGGGCCGAGAGCUCUAAUUUCAACACAAAUGUCUCUAAUAACAGCAAGAUGAAUCCAGAAAUUUGCUGGCAAAGGAAAGGACUUUAGGUAUAAACAUUUUGUCUUCCAAGUUGUGCUCCAAUGGGAAAUUCCCUCCUGAAAGUCCUCCUUUAAAUACUGCAUAAAAGGCAACCGCUGAAGAAAGAAAAAGACAGUCUAGCUGGAGAGAUGUGAAAUGAGGAGGAAGUAUUCAACCAACUCUACUAUUAUUAUUCUCUCUUCACUGGAGACUUCAGGACACUUCAUCCUAAAUCCAAGUUAUCUUUGUCAUCCAUCCCUAGUAGCAAUUUAAAUAGCAGGUUGUUUCAUAUCCAUGUGUAUCUGUUUUUGAAAUCUGCCCACUCACCAAAUUAUUGACCAAACUGUAUGUAACAGGGUCCCGAUUCAGUAUAGAUCUUAAGAACAAGGCUAAUCAUAAGCAUGUGCGUAGUCCUACAGACUUCAUAUGCCUGGUGAACUAGGGUGAGGAAUCUCCGAGUUCAAUGCAACUACUCACGUGCUUAAGGACUUGCUGAAUAGGGGGUCUACACCCUCUGUUAUUCCAGCUCGUGAAUGUGUUGUCUUGAAUGUACAUGCUACAAUGGAGAGCUAUCGGACAGUAACUAUGCCAUGUCAAUGUCCUAAACUAUUAAAGACCUGAAGAUGAUGAUGCGCUUUUAACGUUUCACAUAAACAUUUGGGAUUUGAAGAACUUUCAGCUCUCCCAAGGAAGUCAGAAUAAAUGCUUACAUGGGGGAUAGGGGAAAACCCCCCCAACAACCCUGAAUUAAAUUUUUGAACUUGACACCCUCCACUUUCCUACAUGUUGCUCAACUCUA